AGCCAAGACCUUAAAUCCCGUCUGGGGCCACAAAGGUCUCCUGCAGAAUCGCUCAGCGCUUCGCCCUCAACCUCCCCAUCGGGACAGAGAGGUUUGGUUAGCUAUGCAGAUUGAUCACUCAUCCCUCCAUUUGCAUGCUGCCUGCCUGCUCUGAUGACUUGCGAGUUUUGUUGUUGUUGUCAUAUGAUACUCGUCACAUUUGGCUGUUGUUGCUUUUCAGAUUUUGUUGAAUAUUAAUCAAAUUUAAAGACUAGUUUUAUUUCAGAAUUAGAUUUUGGGGAUUUAAUAAUGUGCGAUAACACAAUUCUUUUGUUGUGGCUCAUCGACCUAUUGAGUAAUUUAAAUCUAUAAUAGAUUUGAGCUUUUAUUGGGCUCUCACACUAAUAAUCCUUAUGGACCAUUCGCCUAUUAAUCACAUAUUAUUUUGAGCUUAAAUUGGGCUUUAUUUAUAAGUGAAAACAAUUCUUUAGUUAUGGCCCAUGGUCCUAUUGUAAAGCUUAUAUUGGUCUUAAGAAUGUGUGAGUUAUAAAAAAGGCCUCCUUGACUUUUGGAGAAAAUAAAAUAAAAAGUGUACGGAAGAGGGGGUGAGAGUUUCUUUUCUGAGAGUGUCAGAUCUGAGAGCGAAGGAAGGAUGCGAGUGGGUGACAAUCGGUAAUAGAGAGCAUCAUAGAAGCCGCGUGACCUCAUAUCGAAUUGAGAUGGAGGAAGCUGCUUCUGUGGGCGAUGCACAUGCACGGGGGAAGCACAUGAUCCUUGCGGAGCUUGGUCGUGUGGAACAGGAAGUCAGAUUCUUGGAGGUGAGAGAUUCUUCUUCUUCUUUCUAUUCUAUUUUUAGCUGCCUAAUUCACACUUGCUCGAUGUUAUUAGGUUGUAGACUGUUUUCUAAGAACUGGCUCAUGUGUUCGAAAUCUAUUCUCCGUUGAUUUUUGCUUACCUCAUUCCUUCUUAUAUACUUGUGAUCAUAGUCCAGCUCCCCCUUUUCUCAUUCAUAUGAUGUGCUUUUCAAUCUUGGAUUGUAUGUGUGCACUCUUUUGUGUCUUCAUCUUUGAAUUUCCCCAGAAUUCGUUGCUAUUACUCUCCAGAAAAAGUUGGAAGAGCUCGGCCAGACAGAUAGUGUAUCAACCCAGUGUGAGGAGUAAGUGAGGGAAUCUCACCCUAUCUUUUCUUUAGUUAGUUUCCUGAAACUUGCGUGUCUACUGGUGUGAUCAACUUGUGUAUUGUCAUGACUCACAGGCUGCUUUGUGUCAUCGAGAAAUCACCUGACCCUCUCUUGCCACUGUGAGUUGCUUCCAACUCUUUUUGGUGUUUACAUUUUGGUUGCUGUCUGAUGCUGUGUGGUUUUGGCAGGACCAAGGGACCUUUGAACUUAGGAUGGGACCGGUGGUUUGAAGCACCAAAUGGGGGAGAACGCUGCAGAUGCUUUAUACUUUGAUUCAUGAUAGUAAAAUGUAGUAGUUACUAUAUAGGCUUGGCAUUUUUGGUGGUAAAAUAUCUUUAACAUGGGACCAAACUAUUAUCAAAAUGUGUGUGUUUCAACAUUGUGUGCAUCUUCCCUUACUAGUAAAAUCGUACAGGUUACGAUGAGCAUUGGAUUGUAUAUAAUGGUUUAGUUGCACGUAUGUAAACAGUAUAUGUUUAAUUUUGUCUGUAUGAGAUCCGAGCAAUGGUGUAUUAGCUUCUCAGGAGCAUUUUCUUUCUCUAACUGUAAUGUUUCAUGCAUAAAAUAUAUCUUCUCUCUUGUCAUUAGCCUUGUCAAUGUUGCUAUCACAGGUUUCUGGUGCGCUGGAUCACGUUCACAAUAUAUGACUUUUUUUUUUAUGUCAAAGAACAUAACACACAAAUGGUGCUAAUGUCUCGUUGUACAAUACCUGGGACGUUGGAAGUAUCUACAGUCUGAACAGUUGGUGGCGGAGCUGCAGGGGCAUGGGCUGCCUGCUGUGUUUGAGGACUUGCUGGUUGCACAGAACCUAUAACAGAUCUUGGAGCAACUCCUGGAGUUGACAUAGGUGUAAAUCCUAUGGGUCCAGCUCCUGGACCAACUACUUGGGGCAUCUUGGGGUUAGAAUAUUUCCUAAUUUGUGAAGGGACAGAGGAUGCAUAUGAACCAGGACCAGGAGGAACGGGGUAUGCAUUGUUAGAUUGUCCCUGAUCACAUAGCUGCUAGCUUAAUCAAACUAAAAAGUGCCAGAAAAUUCAAACACAGUUGAGUUGAUGAAUAACACACGGUGAAUGAAUGAGAAGCAAUGGUUGGCUGCUAAUAUUGGUAUGCGUUCUUCAGUGCAGGGGGAGUUGAUGGAACAAAAGUAGUUCUCAUGGAUGGCUGAGCAUUGCUUGCAGGUGCCGAAGGAUAUGAUGGCUGCAUAUACACAUGUUUGUCAAGAAAUUUUGGCCCAAAAAACCUAUACAUAACAAACAAAACAGUUCCCCACCACAAACUUUUCCUCGCGACCUCUAAGAUAUAGAUUUUACAGAACCAAACUGAAGCAAAGGUCUAACUUAUCCCAUUUUCCGGACAUGUCAUUAGAGGCUGAAAUUCGGUUGAGGAGUAUAUUUUUCGGGGUUUUUGGCAUUUGGCCACCACAUACAUAAUCCAGAUGAUGUCUUCCUAUCUCAAAAAAUUGACCAAUACCCUAUAAAAUAAACGGAAAAUCUUCUGAUCUAGACAUCUGAAAACUGCCUGAUAAUGAUGACCAUUUAUGCAUAUGAUGUUGUAACGAAGAAUGUGUAAAAGGAAAUGCAACAAAGCCAAAACUUCAGGAACCUGCGGUGCUGGCUGAGCUUGGUGAGGCAUAAACAUGGUUGCUUGUUGCAUUGGUGGAUGUGAAGCUGGGGGCACAUAUCCUCCAACAUAAGAAUCGGUGUAUGGUUGUUGAUAGUGAUUAUCAUAUGGGUUACUGUCUUACUGAUAAUGUUUGGUUGCGCAUGUGUUGGCUCAUAAGCCACAGAAGAAUACAUGCUAAGUAUGUUGUCCGUACAAGCUAUAUCCAGACUCUAGUUUAAAGACAGUUGCAGAGAAAAAAAGAAUGAGACCUGAUUAUAUGGUAUGGUGCUUUGAAGCUGAAUCUUGAUUGGCUAUUGAAAAAGUUUUUGUUUCCCUUUUAAGAAAUCAAGUUUUUAUGAAUCUUGAUUGGCUAAUAAAAUGCCUUUUUUUUAAACACUUGCGGGAUUUUAUUAUGACAUAGAAAUUGUAAAGUCGUAGUGUAAUACAUAAUUAAGAAAGCAAGGAACAUAGUUAUAAUAUAAAUAGGACACAUCUCCAUGAAUCUCCCGCUUCGCUAAUUUAUCUGCCACCUGAUUUGAGUUUCUGUUUGUCCAUAUAAAUUGCAUUAUUCCAGUUUUCUACUCUACUAUAUAAUUUCUCGUGUCCAAUUAUAUCCAUCAAAAUGAAGAACUUGACGAUUGAGGAUGUCAAUUGCUUUUCUACAGUCACUUUCAUGUAACUUCUACUCCAAGCAUGUUGAAGAGCCAUAAGAAUUGCUUGUAACUCACUUUCAAGGACAUUCUGAACUUUUUUUCCUACUGCCUGCACUGUUCCUUGAUAGCUUCCAAAAGAGUCCCUGAUAAUAAAACCCACUUUACUUGCUUGAUCCACAUUAAUAAAAAAUCUAUCAACAUUAUACUUUAUCCAUUCAUCUGGUGGUCUUCUCCAUUUGUUAAGGCGACUGUCAUUUUGAGUGCUAGGAAUCCUUCUUUGUUCUGCUUCAAGAGUUUGAUUACUAUUCCAUCAUUCUCUAACAUCCGUAUAAUCAAAGCUGAUAAAAUGCUUUAUGAAAAACAAAAUCUUUGUUAAGAAAAAAGAAAAAAAAUGAAAAUCAUUCGAAAAAGUAAAAAAAAACCAGUACCUAAAUUUGGAGGAAGAAAAUGAAUAUAGUUGCGGAUUUAUAUUUAAAUGUGUUUAAAAUGUCUUUUGAAAAUAAAGAAAGAAGAAAUUGCUAGUUUAAAAAAAGAGAAGAAAAAAAGAAAUUGCAAUCUGCAUCGAUGGUCAAGAAUAUGACAGGUGUCGAGUACUAAGUAAGCUGUAUUGUAACAGUGGUGCACUAGCAUGCAGAAUAUAAUAGCUUAGAUUGCUAUCAUUAUCCCCUUUGUGGAUUAGGUAGUGCUCUCACUUCGCCUUCUCUACACAAACAAAACUGGUUCGCUAAGAGCUCCGACAAUGGCUGUCUGCGCAACUCACUCCUCUCUCAUGAUAGCAUACGCCGCAUCCAAGGACCUUACAAUUCCGUCUCUUUUCUCAUCUGCCAACCCAAGACCCAACAAGUUGAGCGUCGCACUCUAUCCCCCUCUUGUUCUCCUUGCGGGGAGAAGAGCUUCGAACCCAUCCUUCCCGGUGGUUGUCUCAGCCGUAGCCGCAGAGGCUGAUGUCGACACGGAGGACGCGGAGCAGAACGAAGCCACCUCCACCACCGCCACAGCCGUCCUCGAUCCGCCAAAGCCUAAGAAAGGAAAAGCAGCUUUGCUUCUCAAGAGAGAUAGAGUAUGCUUUGCUUAUCCAUCCUUUCCUUUACAAUCCCAAGCUCUAAACAUGAUUUUUUUUUCUUUCUAUGACGAUGAUGAUUCUUUUAUGUUUGUUUGUUUGUUACUCUCAUUUGGCAGACAAGGUCUAAGAGGUUUCUGGAAAUCCAAAAGCUAAGGGAAACCAAAAAGGAGUACGACGUCAAGACUGCUAUAUCUUUGCUUAAGCAAACCGCUAACACAAGGUUUGUGGAGUCGGUCGAAGCCCAUUUCCGUCUCAACAUCGAUCCUAAGUACAAUGAUCAGCAGCUGCGAGCAACCGUAUGGUUUUUUUUAUUUUGCUUUACAUAUAUGUAUAGCUUUGUGUUUCGUUGAAAUUUAAAUCUGAACGCAUUGUCUUUGGUAGGUGAGCCUUCCUAAAGGAACAGGGCAAACUGUUAAAGUGGCUGUUCUUGCACAAGGUAACUAAUUGCCCCCCCUCCCCUCCCCUCCCCUCCCCUCCCAAAUGCUAAGUUAGUCGGACAGUUCAUUCCAAGGGACUCUGUAGAAAAUACUUUGUGUGGUUGACCUUCUAUUAUUUUGUUUGGAUGGAUUGGUGUAUUUCUAUAGAGAAAAAUGUGCUGGGAUCAUUCUUUUCCUUUCUUUCUGUUUCUCUAAGUUAUUUCCAUGAUGAAUAAUAUCCAGGUGAGAAGGUCGAUGAAGCAAAAAAUGCAGGGGCAGAUAUUGUGGGCAGUGAUGAUUUGAUCGAACAGAUAAAAGGAGGGUUCAUGGAGUUCGAUAAGUUAAUUGCAUCCCCGGAUAUGAUGGUCAAGGUGUGUUUUUACUCAUUUGUUAAUAACAAAAAUAAACUUGAAUAGCUGUUACGACAUUCAUUCUUGGCAAAGAAUGUGACAUGAGACAAAUGUUGCUCGUCAUCUCUUAUUACUAAACCUUCUUUAACUUGGGCGGUUAGGUUGCUGGCCUGGGAAAGAUUCUUGGUCCACGAGGACUCAUGCCAAAUCCCAAGGCUGGUACCGUCACAGCUAACAUUCCCCAGGUUAGCCUACUACUUACUCAGGCAGGCAAAAUCAUCUUCGGGUAAUCAAUCAUAGUAUAAUGAUGAUAUGCAUAAAUCUAUCUCAGGCUAUAGAAGAGUUCAAGAAGGGAAAAGUAGAAUUCAGAGCAGACAAAACUGGGAUUGUUCACAUUCCGUUUGGGAAAGUGAAUUUCACAGAGGAAGACCUGCUCGUAAACUUCCUUGCAGCAGUGGUAGGCUGAUUCUCCCCCAUUUAAUAACGUUGUUUAUCUCUUGUGCUGCUGAAUAAAAAGAGUGGAACGUAAAUGCAGAAAUCGGUGGAGACAAACAAGCCAAAGGGAGCAAAAGGAGUGUACUGGAAAAGCGCACACAUAUGUUCGUCAAUGGGGCCAUCCAUCAAGUUGAACAUAAGGGAGAUGAUAGACUUCAAGCCAUAAAUAACCAGCUUAGAAAGAGAUAGAUUGCUAUCAUUAUCCCCUUUGUGGAUUAGGUAGUGCUCUCACUUCGCCUUCUCUACACAAACAAAACUGGUUCGCUAAGAGCUCCGACAAUGGCUGUCUGCGCAACUCACUCCUCUCUCAUGAUAGCAUACGCCGCAUCCAAGGACCUUACAAUUCCGUCUCUUUUCUCAUCUGCCAACCCAAGACCCAACAAGUUGAGCGUCGCACUCUAUCCCCCUCUUGUUCUCCUUGCGGGGAGAAGAGCUUCGAACCCAUCCUUCCCGGUGGUUGUCUCAGCCGUAGCCGCAGAGGCUGAUGUCGACACGGAGGACGCGGAGCAGAACGAAGCCACCUCCACCACCGCCACAGCCGUCCUCGAUCCGCCAAAGCCUAAGAAAGGAAAAGCAGCUUUGCUUCUCAAGAGAGAUAGAGUAUGCUUUGCUUAUCCAUCCUUUCCUUUACAAUCCCAAGCUCUAAACAUGAUUUUUUUUUCUUUCUAUGACGAUGAUGAUUCUUUUAUGUUUGUUUGUUUGUUACUCUCAUUUGGCAGACAAGGUCUAAGAGGUUUCUGGAAAUCCAAAAGCUAAGGGAAACCAAAAAGGAGUACGACGUCAAGACUGCUAUAUCUUUGCUUAAGCAAACCGCUAACACAAGGUUUGUGGAGUCGGUCGAAGCCCAUUUCCGUCUCAACAUCGAUCCUAAGUACAAUGAUCAGCAGCUGCGAGCAACCGUAUGGUUUUUUUUAUUUUGCUUUACAUAUAUGUAUAGCUUUGUGUUUCGUUGAAAUUUAAAUCUGAACGCAUUGUCUUUGGUAGGUGAGCCUUCCUAAAGGAACAGGGCAAACUGUUAAAGUGGCUGUUCUUGCACAAGGUAACUAAUUGCCCCCCCUCCCCUCCCCUCCCCUCCCCUCCCAAAUGCUAAGUUAGUCGGACAGUUCAUUCCAAGGGACUCUGUAGAAAAUACUUUGUGUGGUUGACCUUCUAUUAUUUUGUUUGGAUGGAUUGGUGUAUUUCUAUAGAGAAAAAUGUGCUGGGAUCAUUCUUUUCCUUUCUUUCUGUUUCUCUAAGUUAUUUCCAUGAUGAAUAAUAUCCAGGUGAGAAGGUCGAUGAAGCAAAAAAUGCAGGGGCAGAUAUUGUGGGCAGUGAUGAUUUGAUCGAACAGAUAAAAGGAGGGUUCAUGGAGUUCGAUAAGUUAAUUGCAUCCCCGGAUAUGAUGGUCAAGGUGUGUUUUUACUCAUUUGUUAAUAACAAAAAUAAACUUGAAUAGCUGUUACGACAUUCAUUCUUGGCAAAGAAUGUGACAUGAGACAAAUGUUGCUCGUCAUCUCUUAUUACUAAACCUUCUUUAACUUGGGCGGUUAGGUUGCUGGCCUGGGAAAGAUUCUUGGUCCACGAGGACUCAUGCCAAAUCCCAAGGCUGGUACCGUCACAGCUAACAUUCCACAGGUUAGCCUACUACUUACUCAGGCAGGCAAAAUCAUCUUCGGGUAAUCAAUCAUAGUAUAAUGAUGAUAUGCAUAAAUCUAUCUCAGGCUAUAGAAGAGUUCAAGAAGGGAAAAGUAGAAUUCAGAGCAGACAAAACUGGGAUUGUUCACAUUCCGUUUGGGAAAGUGAAUUUCACAGAGGAAGACCUGCUCGUAAACUUCCUUGCAGCAGUGGUAGGCUGAUUCUCCCCCAUUUAAUAACGUUGUUUAUCUCUUGUGCUGCUGAAUAAAAAGAGUGGAACGUAAAUGCAGAAAUCGGUGGAGACAAACAAGCCAAAGGGAGCAAAAGGAGUGUACUGGAAAAGCGCACACAUAUGUUCGUCAAUGGGGCCAUCCAUCAAGUUGAACAUAAGGGAGAUGAUAGACUUCAAGCCAUAAAUAACCACAUUUGUGUUUUUUUUUUUGUGAGUGUAGGCGAACACCAUUAGUUAUCUCUUGUAUACCUCACCGGUUGUAUCACCUUAACUCUGAUAAGACCAUUUGCUUUAUUGAUUAUUACUGUUAAAAUUGCGAGGCCUCUAUUGCCUUAAUGCCUGCCUUCACCACUGGAGAUGAGAGAACACACGAGUCUUUUUUUUUUUAAAUAAAAAAAAAAACAAAUAUCCUUGAAAUUGGAAGAUAAAAUGAGAUAAUUUCAUGAGGCCGUUACGUUGCGACGUGGCAGCGUUUUCUGCCAAGGAUACAAAGCUCGUGAGUGAGUGAAAAGGAAGGUUCGUAAUCCUUCCUUGCAAUCAAUCGAUCAUUCAUGGCGGAGAACUGCAUAGUUUCGGUCAACCCUAAACCCUCAAAGGGAUUAUCCUCUAAGCUUCUCGAUCUUGUGGAGAGAGUUGUUGUGAAGCUCAUGCACGAUGCUUCUCUGCCUCUCCACUACCUCUCCGGCAACUUCGCUCCCGUGCGGGAUGAAACUCCUCCGGUGAAGGAUCUCCCCGUCGUCCAUGGAUUUCUUCCAGUAAGUGAGCUCUUUAAUUUACACACUCCAUAUCCUUUUCCGAGGAAGGUUCUAAUUCGUCUUUUUUAUAUUUCCCAGGAGCCAAAUAAGAAAAAGAAUACUUAAAUAGAGACAGCGGUCAUGUAAAAGAAAAGAAAGCCAUCAGCAAUUUGAUAAAGAGAAACUUCGUAGCAGUUUCCAAUAUCGUUGUCAAGAAAUGUGGAGGCUAAUCUUCUUUAUUAUUCAUGUGAAGACGACACUGAGAGAGAUAAGGCAAUUGACCUUUAUAUAGAUAAACAAAGAAACAAAUGAAGAAGUUAACCUCCACCAAAUCGUAAAUGUGUCCACCAAUACAUUAUUCUCAACUCUUUUUGCUGCUCCUAGUAGCUUAGGUGUUGAGAGCAGCAGAGACGGAAUGCUUCUGCAAUCUUGGAGAACAGAAGAACUGAAGCAAGAAUUGAUGAAUGGGGACGACAAAUUUAUUAUAUAGAAGCGCACACAUGUCACACAACACCAAGCUUAACAUAUCCAAACGAAUGAGCUUUUGAAUAUAACAAACUAAGCAUGGCACUAGUAACUUGAAACUUUUCACCCACUAAAACUUGGAGAAUUGUUUGUAACUCCAUUUAUUUUGGUUUAAAAGAAAAAGAAGAAGAUCCUUGGCUCUGUGGUUGCUAUUACGUUUGGCCGGAAUCAGUGAAACCAGCCACCUGCUGUCCUCCGGGAUUGAGCUAUCCAGACCAAUCCCUCAAUCAGAGAGCACUUGGCCUUGAACAUUCAUUCCUUGAAUUCACGCUCUUCUGUACUUGUAUCGCGUUCUAGCGAGGCCCAUCGGACCUGAGACCGAAGCGGGUCGCUAAUAAUAACAGGCCCAGUUAUGUGUUCGUCACGUGGCAAACAGACAACCGUAGAUUAUAUAUCAUUAAUUAAUUAAUUACUGGGAUAAAAUUUAUUUUUCUUUCAUAGCCCCCGAGCGGAUCGGAGCAACCUUACUUGCUUGCUAGCUUAAUCGCAAAACGGCGAAGCGAGCAAGAAUCAUUGUCUCAUACUCACAUCCCUUUAGGUAUCUGUCUUCACUCUUGUAUUUCUCUUUUUAUGCUUAUUUUGGGGGUUUAGGGUUUUUCUGAUGACAGAUCUGAUUAUUUGAACUUUUAUUUUAUUUAUGGUUUCGAUAGAGCCUUUGCGGUUAUCUUCAGGGUCGCUUUUGUAUUGUCGGACUGCUUCAAAUCUCAUGUUAACUUGAUAGUGUUCUUGAUGCCCCCACCUCCCUAAAUCAUGAUAGCAUAUCUUUAACUUCUUGCUUUGCUUGUGGUACUAGCAAUGAGUAGUAGUAAGAAGAAGAAUCCAACUGUAUUCCUGGAUGUCUCCAUUGGCGGGGAUCCCCUUGAACGUAUCGUGAUUGAGGUAUUACAUCCACACUCUCUGUGCCUUUCUUUUCCUUGUCUUAAAGUUUCUCUCUCAAUUGCAGCUUUUUGCUCAUCUUGUCCCCAAGACUGCCGAGAACUUUCGUGCCCUCUGCACAGGUACCCUUUUAACUUUCUUUGUGUGGUAUUCAUGUCAACUUGACAAGAUAAUAAUGGGCUUCUCUCUCAGGUGAGGCAGGCCUUGGCAAGACCACUAGCAAGCCUCUACAUUUCAAAGGAUCAUCUUUCCAUCGAGUCAUCAAAGGAUUCAUGGCCCAAGUAUCUAUCCCUUCUACUUAUUCAUUUUCUUCUAUGCUUCUCAUGGACAAACCAAUUCAUUACCGCUUCUCUUUCCUUCCUCUUUUUGCAGGGUGGUGAUUUUUCUAAUGGAAAUGGUAUUCUUCUAACCUCUUAUCCUCUAAUCAUAUUAUAUAUAAGAUCCUAUGUAUAUUUUUAUGUUGUCUGUACCUCACGGCCGUAGAGGCAGUCUAGUUACUAGUUAGCCACAACACACGUUUAAGGAACUGACACAAAGGAGCUAAUUUUACAUAUGAUGAAAAUGGCACUUUAGAAGGGUGUAUGGGUUUUUUUUUUGAUUCAUUACACUUAGAAUAAAUGAUUUUGAAGGACUUUGGUUGGUUUUCAGGCACCGGCGGUGAGAGCAUCUAUGGUGGGAAGUUUCCAGGUACUACUUUUUUUUAUAACCUCUAUAUUCACCUUUCUUGAGUUGGUAAAAAAUCCUCAAUAUAUUCUGUUACCUCUACAGAUGAGAACUUUGAACUGGACCAUGAAGAAGGUGGAGUCCUUUCGAUGGCAAAUUGUGGCCCAAACACCAACGGGUCACAGUUUUUUAUCCUUUUCAAACGCCAGCCUCAUCUCGAUGGGUAAUGCAUGUUCCAUAGAUAUGGUUAUUUCUUAGAAAUUAAACUCAUUGUAAAAAACAGUUUGAAAUGUUCUGUUUUUUUUCCCCCUGGAAUCAUAUUGUAGGAAGCAUGUUGUAUUUGGGAAAGUCGUUAAGGGAAUGGAAGUUGUCAAGAAAAUGGAGCUCGUAGGGACGAGUGAUGGUAAACCAACCAGCAAUGUCAAAAUAAUUGACUGUGGCGAAGUGUCUCAGUUAAAAGGCGAGGAUGCUGCUGAGAAAGAUAAAGGUAGUGAAGUUAAUUUUUGAUUGUGGAAUGGCUAUGUUUAUGAUUCUUCGGUGAUUUCCAGGGAAAUUGAAAAAAUCUAGCAAAGACUCACGGGAGAAGAGGACUAAGCGAAAAAGAAGAUACUCGUCUUCGUCAGAUUCAUACAGCUCAAGUUCUGAAUCAGAUUCUGAAUCAGAAACAGAUUCAUCCUCGUAUGAGUCUAGUUCUUCCAGUGAUGGGAAGCGUAGGAAGAGGAGGUCAACAAAGAGACACAAAGGCCGACGCGGGGAAAGAAAGAUCAAAGGACGAAAGGGGAAAAAGAAUGCUCGAGGAGAUAGACCACCUCAACGCAGGUCUGGCUAUUAGCUCAGUUAAUGGUAUUUAGUUUAGUCUUUGCCAGUUCUUCUGCGUGAUUCUUUAGUGUGUUUUUUUUUUUACAGAAACAAGGAUAGUUCAAGUGACACCGAGAGUAGCAAUUCUGAUGAUGAGAGAAUGGGCCACGAAAAGGCCAAAAAGUCAAAGAAAGCUAAAGGUAAGUGUAACUCUGUUAAGAAUCUUGGGUCUUUCAGCCUGUAUUUGGCAACUAGUUAUCGUAUGUGGAAGUGACAUUGAAUCUUGCUUUCUUCUUGGAACAGAUGGUGUGCCUGUAAGGAAUGCUGCUGAUUCUAGUCCUGCGGAGAAGAAAUUUUCGGGGGACAAACCAGAUUCUCUUCUGAAUGAAAAUGAACUUGUAGGAAAUGGAAAAGCCACCAAAGUUGAUAAUCAACGUGCGGACUCGGUGAAAUCAAGGUUAAUCCCCCUUACUUUACUUUACUUUGUGUUCUUCAGCUCUGCUUUUGCAUUUAUUUCCGUGUUCUGAUUUGUGGUCCCUGGCAAACUUUUUACCAUGUUCUAUUGCUAUAUAGGAGUAUGAGCCCAGUUUCUAGAAGAGGUCAAAACAGUAGGAGCAAAAGUCCUGCUAGUAGGAGCCCUGUGAGAGAUGUUGGAAAUAGGAGCACAAGUCCUCGCGAGAGGAAAUCUUCAAAAAGCCCAUCUCCAAAUGGUGAGCCCAAGCGCAUCCGAAAGGGGCGUGGGUUCACAGAACGUUAUUCAUUUGCUCGGAAGUACCGUACACCAUCUCCUGAGCGUUCCCCUCCUCGGCGCUGGCCUGAGAGAAGAAGCUUUCAGGACAGGAACACGGACAGGUAACUUAAAUACAUACUGAAAACAAUGAAAGUUGAGACUGUAAGUAAAUAAAUACUAAAGCCUUGUUUUUGUUUAAAUUUGUGGAGGUAUCCAAGCAACAGGAGUUACUCUGAACGCUCGCCUAGACGACGCUUUAGGAGCCCACCCAGGAGAAGGAGCCCUCCAAGGUUGGCUUUCUUUUAUCUCUUUAUGAAGAAGAUUAAACUCCUAAGACAGUCGCUUUACAUAAACUUGUCUGUCGUGCUGCAUAGGUACAACCGGAGGAGAAGAAGCAUUUCACGGAGUCCAGAUGGGCAGCGCAGAGGUUUGAGAGAGAGCCAAAGUCCAAGUCAUCGUAGCCCCAGAAAGAGGCAGCCAAUUAGCCAAGACCUUAAAUCCCGUCUGGGGCCACAAAGGUCUCCUGCAGAAUCGCUCAGCGCUUCGCCCUCAACCUCCCCAUCGGGACAGAGAGGUUUGGUUAGCUAUGCAGAUUGAUCACUCAUCCCUCCAUUUGCAUGCUGCCUGCCUGCUCUGAUGACUUGCGAGUUUUGUUGUUGUUGUCAUAUGAUACUCG
rnacentral:lncRNA from 1 species